AAUGAAGUCACGGAACUGAUGACAUCAUCCAGAGAAUAAAGAGAGUUCUAGAAGAAUCGGAGACAACUAAGCCAUCAGUAGCCUCAACCUAAAGGCUGGGAAAAGAAGGCUCUAGGCAAAGGAAAUGUCAGGAAGAAUCUACCAGGUAACCGUUCGUGAUCAGCUGAAUCCACCACGAAGAUCAGCAGCCAUCCAUUGGGUGUUCCGAAAGCCAUGCCAACGGUAACUACAGCGCCCACGGAAAAGAACCGGGAGCUCCCAAACACAUCACGGGUCCAUCGUCCAGGAACCCUGUCUCUUCCGACGGAGAAUACAUUCAUUCACUCCA